CAAUAAGCGGAGGAAAAGAAACCAACAGGGAUUGCCCUAGUAACGGCGAGUGAAGCGGCAACAGCUCAAAUUUGAAAUCUGGCCUCACGGUCCGAAUUGUAAUUUGUAGAGGAUGUUUCUGGCGACGUGUCUUCCGAGUUCCCUGGAACGGGACGCCAUAGAGGGUGAGAGCCCCGUCCGGUCGUACACCUAGCCUCUGUGAAACUCCUUCGACGAGUCGAGUAGUUUGGGAAUGCUGCUCUAAAUGGGAGGUAUACGUCUUCUAAAGCUAAAUACCGGCCAGAGACCGAUAGCGCACAAGUAGAGUGAUCGAAAGAUGAAAAGCACUUUGAAAAGAGGGUUAAAUAGUACGUGAAAUUGCUGAAAGGGAAGCGCUUAUGACCAGACUUGGGCUCGGUGAAUCAUCCGGCGUUCUCGCCGGUGCACUUUGCCGUCCCAGGCCAGCAUCAGUUCGCGCCGGGGGAUAAAGGUUUCGGGAAUGUAGCUCCCUCGGGAGUGUUAUAGCCCGUUGCGUAAUACCCUGGCGUGGACUGAGGUCCGCGCUCUGCAAGGAUGCUGGCGUAAUGGUCAUCAGUGACCCGUCUUGAAACACGGACCAAGGAGUCGUCUUCGUAUGCGAGUGUUCGGGUGUCAAACCCCUACGCGUAAUGAAAGUGAACGUAGGAGAGAGCUUCGGCGCAUCUCCGACCGAUCCUGAUGUUCUCGGAUGGAUUUGAGUAAGAGCAUACGGGGCCGGACCCGAAAGAAGGUGAACUAUGCCUGUAUAGGGUGAAGCCAGAGGAAACUCUGGUGGAGGCUCGCAGCGGUUCUGACGUGCAAAUCGAUCGUCAAAUAUGGGCAUGGGGGCGAAAGACUAAUCGAACCUUCUAGUAGCUGGUUUCCGCCGAAGUUUCCCUCAGGAUAGCAGUGUUGAACUCAGUUUUAUGAGGUAAAGCGAAUGAUUAGGGACCCGGGGG
rnacentral:rRNA from 1 species